CUACAUUGGCUCCCAGUAUGUUUCUGAGCACCAUUCAAAGUGCUGGUGCUGACAUUUAAAGCCCUAAACGGCCAUGGUUCAGUAGACCUGAAGGAGCAUCUCCACCCCCUUUGUUCUGCCCAGACACUGAGGUCCAGCUCCAAGGGCCUUCUGGUGGUUCCCUCAUUGCAAGAAGUGAGGUUACAGUGAACCAGACAGAGGGUCUUCUCCGUAGUGGUGCCCGCCCUGUGGAAUGCCUUCCUUUCAGAUGUGAAGGAAAUAAGCAGCUAUCCUAUUUUUAAAAGUCAUCUGAAGGCAGCCCUGUUUAAGGAAGCUUUUAAUAUUUAAUGCUGUAUUGUUUUUAAUGCUCGAUUGGAAGCCACCCAGAGUGGCUGGGGAAAUUAUUAUUAUUAUUAUUAUCAUUAUUACAACUUUGUCUCUGGGCACAAUACAUUAUAUUCAGUUAGUGUUGAAACUGACGGAGGCAAUAUAAAAGACUGUUAGAAAGAGGUUGGAAAAAGAAAAUUAGGUCGUUCUGGUAGAUAUGAUAUAAAGGAUUAAGUAAAAAUGAGUUGAUGAAUUUUAUGAAACAGAGGAGGUUUAAUCAUAUUAUUUAAAUUUUAAAAUACGUAAAUGAAAAUAAGGUUAGAAGGAUUUGCUGGAAAUACGAUUUGAACUAGAAUACAAAAUUGGGAGGUGUGAGGAGGUCAUGGAAAUAAGUAAAGGGAAAAGGCUAUGUAAAGGUUAAAUCUGUUUUUGUUUUAUUUUAACUUAAUGCAUUUUUAUAUUUUUUGUUAAUGUCUUCUUUUUUAUUCGAUUUUAUUGUUCACUUUAUCUUUUUAUUUUUCGCUUUGUUAAAGUUCUCUUUGUAUUUUGUAUGGUUUUUCUUUCUGUUUUUUGUAAUUUUAAAUUUGGAAUAAAUAUUAUUAAAAAAAAAAAAGAAACUGACGGAGGCCCCAAAUUUCUGAAAGAGUGGCUCCUUCCCUACAGACCCUCCCAGGUGUUAAGGUCAGCAGAGGGCGCCCUCUUGACAGAAGGGAUGUCCAAUAAUUCCAAUGGAGACAGAGACAGAAAAAGAAAUUGUUGGCUUCCACUUCUUUGUCCCAUGUCUGGAAUGGAGAGCAAUCCAGUGAAUAUAAUCAGGACAAAUGAUUUGCAAUUGAUUACGGUUUUUUCCUCAUUUGCAUUGCGUUCCUCCUGCAUUGAAAAGAUUGGGGUGGGAAAACGUAACGACUUAAUGCAAUUAUGAAUGUUAUGCAAGCAACAGUGAGACAGUAGAUGAAUGGCAGUGGAACGGAAACAGUGGUGCAGGCGAUAAAGACGAGGCAGAAAGGAAAAGGAUGUCUUCCUGCAUUCCUACUUGGCAGUUCUACUGUCAGAACCUCAGUGGGUGGUGGUGUGGGUGAGCCCCUUUCUAUGUGGCAGCCCCUGAACUGCAGAACUCCUUCCACACUAAAGUGUGCCUUAGCACCUACCUUAUUUAUUUAUUUAUUUUAUUUUAUUUUAUUUUAUUUUAUUUUGUACACCACCCUAUACCUGCAGGUCUCAGGAUAGUUCAAAAGAUAAAUAGCUUUGCUGCAUAGCUUCGUACGUACAAGACGCAUGACUUUAUCCAGGUCUUUCACGGAGAAGCUAUUUUGUUUUAUACUAUCUACCACUUUUGUUGACUUUGUGCUGUUCCACGCUGUCUUGAACAGUUUUGGAUUUUAUUGGCAUUUAUGUCUUAAUACGCUUUUGGUGAUCUGUGUUAUGUUUUACAAUCUAUUUAUGUACCCUACUUUUUACACUGG